UUGACUUCGGAAGCAGACGUU
rnacentral:piRNA from 1 species